rnacentral:rRNA from 1 species
AAAACAUGGUUUUUUGUUUUAUAUAAAAAAUCUGGCCUGCUCAGUGAGUUUUAAAUAGCUGCAGUAUUUUGACUGUACAAAGGUAGCAUAAUCACUUGUCCUUUAAUUGAGGUCUGGAAUGAAUGGUUUGAUGAAAAAUAUACUUUAUUUAUUUUUAAGGAAAAAUUUAAUUUUUGAGUAAAAAAGCUUGAAAAUUUUUUUAUAGGACGAGAAGACCCUAUAGAGCUUUAUUUUAUUAUUUUUGUAUUAUAUUAGGUUAUAUAUUUUUAAUAAAAAUAGUGAAAUUUUGUUGGGGUGACAAAAAAAAUAUAAUAACUUUUUUUAAUUAUUACAUUAAUUAAUGUAUUUUUGAUCCUUUUUUUGGAAAAAAGAAUAAGCUACCUUAGGGAUAACAGCGUUAUUAUUUUGGAGAGUUCAUAUCGAUGAAAUAGUUUGCGACCUCGAUGUUGGAUUAAAAUAAGAUAUAGAAGUAGAAUGUUAUAUUCUUGGUCUGUUCGACCUUUAAAUUUUUACAUGAUCU